AAGCGAGGUCGACGGAAUCGCGGCCGCAGCGGGCGUGCAUCGUCGAACGGUGCGGGCGGCGGCGGCGCGCGCCUUAUCACGUGUGCUGUACGGUCACCGCCAUUUUCCGCUCUACCCGUACUCCACGAAAACGCAGCAACAGACCCAGGGCCUGAGUGCAGAAAAUGACAGGUCGCAUCAACUGUGGAUAGUGGCUCCUCUUGUCCAGCAUCAGACCAAACGCGAAACUGUGGUGACACCAGACGUCUAUUCGGGACCAAUUGAAGCUCGAAGCUUCUGGAAUCCAAUAUAUUGUUGUUAUGUAAAAAAAGUUUCGUGGACGAUAAUAGGAGAACGCAAUUUUUUUUCAAUUUGCAAAUACCUAUUACACAUUAUGUAACUAUAAGAUAUACAGGACAAGGAAAAUGAGCGUGACAAGAUGUAAAUUGGAAACAUAGGUCAGUACUAGUACAUAGUUAUAUAUGUAGAAUAGUAUUUUUCGUUUUUAGAAAUAAGAAUUUAUAGAAAUUUUAUAAAAUAAAAAUCGAAGUAACUAUAAAAUAUAAUAUUUUAGUUUUUUGUUGUUAUUAUUACAACAACAUGAGUACACAAAAGGUAAACAACUAAAUUCGAGUUAAUUAAAAAAAAAUAUCUACAUUAAAAAAACUACAUUGUUGUGAUAUCAUCAAACCUUAGUCUCAAAACGAAAUUUUAUGAGAAUAGCUACUGUGAAAGCAAAAUUAAUUACGAGUUGUUUAUUUAUGCAUUAAAUACAAAUUAUAUUAAAUAAAUGUUUUAAACUUU